GCAAACUUGGUCAUUUAGAGGAAGUAAAAGUCGUAACAAGGUUUCCGUAGGUGAACCUGCGGAAGGAUCAUUACUGAAAAGCGCUGGGAGAUGUUUGCUGGCUUCUUCCAGGAGCAAUGGUGCACUCUUCCAACUUUUUCACAAUUUCCCUCACACCCCUUGUGCACCCUUUGUAGAGCCUCUCUCAGGCUUAUAUAUAUAGCUUGAGAAGGGAAGGCUCUAUGUCUCUUUGCUUACCCCUACACACUUUUUGGAAUGGUAUGGUGCUAUUUUAUGAAAUAAAAGAAAACAACUUUCAACAAUGGAUCUCUUGGCUCUCGCAUCGAUGAAGAACGCAGC
rnacentral:misc_RNA from 1 species